rnacentral:rRNA from 1 species
CGGACGGGUGAGUAAUGUCUGGGAAACUGCCUGAUGAGGGGGGAUAACUACUGGAAACGGUAGCUAAUACCGCAUAACGUCGCAAGACCAAAGAGGGGGACCUUCGGGCCUCUUGCCAUCGGAUGUGCCCAGAUGGGAUUAGCUAGUAGGUGGGGUAACGGCUCACCUAGGCGACGAUCCCUAGCUGGUCUGAGAGGAUGCCAGCCACACUGGAACUGAGACACGGUCCAG